GCUGGGAUGUGUCAGGUAGGCAGUGUAUUGCUAGCGGCUGUUAAUAAUUUUAACGGUUGCUAGUUGCACUCCUCUCUGCAGCAUUCAGAAGC
ensembl:miRNA